AGUGAACGCUGGCGGUAGGCCUAACACAUGCAAGUCGAACGAACGCACAGUAAGCGUUUUCUCCUACGGUUGGCGAGGGGCGGACGGGUGAGGAAUACAUCAGAUUCUACUUAUUCGUGGGUGACAUCGUAAGGCAACUGAUGCUAAUAGCUCAUACGAUCUACGGGUUAAAUCAGGAGAUCUUCGGGGCUUGCGCGAUUGAAAUAGCCGAAGCCGGGCCGCAUUAGCUAGUUGGUAAGGUAACAGCUUACCAAGGCAACGAAGCGUAGCUGACCUGAGAGGGUGAACGGCCACACUGGAACUGAGACACGGUCCAGACUCCUACGGGAGGCAGCAGUAGGGAAUCUUCCGAAAUGGGCGAAAGCUUGACGGAGCAACGCCGCGUGAGUGAUGAAGGUCUUCGGAUCGUAAAACGCUGUUAUUAGGGAAGAACAAAUGUGUAAGUAACUAUGCACGUCUUGACGGUACCUAAUCAGAAAGCCACGGCUAACUACGUG
rnacentral:rRNA from 1 species